CCUCCACAUAAAACAUGUUCCAGUCUUGUUUUCUGGUGCUGCUGGCAGCUGCAUCUGUUGUAUGUGGAGAAAUUGACUUUGUUCAGCCAAGUCAUCUGGCUGUACUGCUCGGGCAGACUUUAAGUAUUGGGUGUAAAGUGAGUGGAUAUGAUUUGACUGACAGCAGCUACUGUACAAACUGGAUCCGGCAUACUACAGGGAGAGAGAUGCAAUGGAUUGGAUACAUAUGUAGCAGUGGGGGCACAGGUUUCACAGCUUCACUGAAGAACAGGUUCAGCAUUACCCAAGACACCUCCAGCAAUAAAGUGACCCUUCAGGGUAUGAAUAUGCUGGUAGAAGACACGGCUGUGUAUUACUGCGUGCGUUACAGAGACACAGUGCUCUGCAGCACCAGAGUGCUUGUACAAAAACCUUUUUGAUCCUGCCUUUUAAUAUAUUGUGUAUGUAUUGUAUCCAAAUUUCACUACUCUGGGAAUUUAAUUCGUGCAAGCCUUCAAGAUAAUACCAGUAUUUAUUAUUGCACUUUUUCAAUAUUAAUAAAUUAAUUAAACGUCCUAAAAAUAAUAAUAAUAAUCUGUCUACAUUGGCCAGUAAUAUUUUUAUACAUUUAUUUUGUGUUUAUAUUGCAAUCAACUUGCAGUUGUAUCCACUGCCACAUUUGACAUAGAAAAUGUUGGCUCGAUCAGAUGUUAGGUGUUUGGCUUUAGAUACUGUAUGUUGUGUGUAACAUUACUUUUCUUCACUGUGUUCAUGUUCAUAUACAUUUGGUUCUUUCUGUUGUUUGUGGAGUUGGUGAACCAGCCAUUGAGUGCAUUGUAGUAAAACUUUAAUAAAACAAAAUAAUGUUCAGUGCAAACUUGUAUAGCUCACCCCUAAGAAGCACAGACACACUGCAGAAAAUACUUUCAAUUAUACAUUCAAUUAAGAAUGUUACUGAAACCUGCAAUCAGUAUUUCAGUCCGUAU